UGGGGAAUAUUGCACAAUGGGGGAAACCCUGAUGCAGCGACGCCGCGUGAACGAAGAAGGUAUUCGUAUCGUAAAGUUCUGUCCUAUGGGAAGAUAAUGACAGUACCAUAGAAGAAAGCUCCGGCUAAAUACGUGCCAGCAGCCGCGGUAAUACGUAUGGAGCGAGCGUUGUCCGGAAUUAUUGGGCGUAAAGGGUACGCAGGCGGUUUAAUAAGUCGAAUGUUAAAGAUCGGGGCUCAACCCCGUAAAGCAUUGGAAACUGAUAAACUUGAGUAGUGGAGAGGAAAGUGGAAUUCCUAGUGUAAUGGUGAAAUACGUAGAUAUUAGGAGGAAUACCAGUAGCGAAGGCGACUUUCUGGACACAAACUGACGCUGAGGUACGAAAGCGUGGGGAGCAAACAGG
rnacentral:rRNA from 1 species